GCGCCCGUAGCUCAACGGACAGAGCGGCAGGCUUCGAACCUGUAGGCUGGGGGUUCGACUCCCUCCGGGCGCGCCA
rnacentral:tRNA from 1 species